rnacentral:rRNA from 1 species
AGUGAACGCUGGCGGUAGGCCUAACACAUGCAAGUCGAACGGCAGCACAGUAAGAGCUUGCUCUUACGGGUGGCGAGUGGCGGACGGGUGAGGAAUACAUCGGAAUCUACUUUUUCGGGGGGGAUAACGUAGGGAAACUUACGCUAAUACCGCAUACGACCUACGGGUGAAAGCAGGGGAUCUUCGGACCUUGCGCGAUUGAAUGAGCCGAUGUCGGAUUAGCUAGUUGGCGGGGUAAAGGCCCACCAAGGCGACGAUCCGUAGCUGGUCUGAGAGGAUGGUCAGACACACUGGAACUGAGACACGGUCCAGACUCCUACGGGAGGCAGCAGUGGGGAAUAUUGGACAAUGGGGGCAAGCCUGAUCCAGCAAUACCGCGUGGGUGAAGAAGGCCUUCGGGUUGUAAAGCCAUUUUGUUGGGAAAGAAAAGCAGCAGGUUAAUACCCCGCUGUUCUGACGGUACCCAAAGAAUAAGCACCGGCUAACUUCGUG